rnacentral:rRNA from 1 species
UACGGAGGGGACUAGCGUUGUUCGGAAUUACUGGGCGUAAAGCGCACGUAGGCGGAUUUGUAAGUCAGGGGUGAAAUCCCGGGGCUCAACCCCGGAACUGCCUUUGAUACUGCGAAUCUCGAGUCCGGAAGAGGUGAGUGGAAUUCCCAGUGUAGAGGUGAAAUUCGUAGAUAUUAGGAAGAACACCAGUGGCGAAGGCGGCUCACUGGUCCGGUACUGACGCUGAGGUGCGAAAGCGUGGGGAGCAAACAGG